GCAGGGGUAGCAAAGCCUGGUCAAAUGCGAUGGACUCAAGAUCCAUUCCGCUAGCGGUUCGAGGGUUCGAAUGCCCAUCUUUUCU
rnacentral:tRNA from 4 species